rnacentral:rRNA from 1 species
GACGAACGCUGGCGGCGUGCCUAAUACAUGCAAGUCGAACGCAUUUUCUUUCACCGUAGCUUGCUACACCGAAAGAAAAUGAGUGGCGAACGGGUGAGUAACACGUGGGUAACCUGCCCAUCAGCGGGGGAUAACACUUGGAAACAGGUGCUAAUACCGCAUAAUUCCAUUUACCGCAUGGUAGAUGGAUGAAAGGCGCUUUUGCGUCACUGAUGGAUGGACCCGCGGUGCAUUAGCUAGUGGGUGGGGUAACGGCCUACCAAGGCUGCGAUGCAUAGCCGACCUGAGAGGGUGAUCGGCCAAACUGGGACUGAGACACGGCCCAGACUCCUACGGGAGGCAGCAGUAGGGGAUCUUCGGCAAUGGACACUAGUCUGACCGAGCAACGCCGCGUGAGUGAAGAAGGUUUUCGGAUCGUAAAACUCUGUUGUUAGAGAAGAACAAGGAUGAGAGUGGAAAGUUCAUCCCUUGACGGUAUCUAACCAGAAAGCCACGGCUAACUACGUG